GAGGGUCUAGCUCAGUGGUAGAGGGCAUGCUUAAUGUGCUUGAGGUCCUGGGUUCAAUCUCCAGAGCCUCU
rnacentral:tRNA from 1 species